rnacentral:rRNA from 1 species
AUUGAACGCUGGCGGCAGGCCUAACACAUGCAAGUCGAACGAGUGGCGGACGGGUGAGUAAUGUCUGGGAAACUGCCCGAUGGAGGGGGAUCACUACUGGAAACGGUAGCUAAUACCGCAUACCCUCGGAUGUGCCCAGAUGGUAUUAGCUAGUAGGUGGGUUAACGGCUCACCUAGGCGACGAUCCAUAGCUGGUCUGAGAGGGUGACCAGCCACACUGGAACUGAGACACGGUCCAGACUCCUACGGGAGGCAGCAGUGGGGAAUAUUGCACAAUGGGCGCAAGCCUGAUGCAGCCAUGCCGCGUGUAUGAAGAAGGCCUUCGGGUUGUAAAGUACUUUCAGCGAGGAGGCGUUACUCGCAGAAGAAGCACCGGCUAACUCCGUGCCAGCCGCCGCGGUAAUUC